rnacentral:rRNA from 1 species
UACGUAGGUGGCAAGCGUUGUCCGGAUUUACUGGGCGUAAAGAGCGCGCAGGCGGUCGUUCAAGUCGCGUGUGAAAGCCCCCGGCUCAACUGGGGAGGGUCACGCGAUACUGAUCGACUCGAAGGCAGGAGAGGGAAGUGGAAUUCCCGGUGUAGCGGUGAAAUGCGCAGAUAUCGGGAGGAACACCAAUGGCGAAGGCAGCUCGCUGGGACGUUACUGACGCUGAGACGCGAAAGCGUGGGGAGCAAACAGG